AUACGACCGUACCGCAAACCGACACUGGUGCGCGAGAUGAGUAUUCUAAGGCGCUUGAGAGAACUCAGGAGAAGGAACUCGGCAAAUUGACACCGUAACUUCGGAAGAAGGUGUGCCCUAUUAGUGUGUAGUGAACAACGAAGCAUGAAUGGGUUGCAAAAAAUCGGUGGCUGCGACUGUUUAUUAAAAACACAGCACUCUGCAAACACGAAAGUGGACGUAUAGGGUGUGACGCCUGCCCGGUGCUGGAAGAUUAAAUGAUGGGGUGCAAGCUCUUGAUUGAAGUCCCAGUAAACGGCGGCCGUAACAAUAACGGUCCUAAGGUAGCGAAAUUCCUUGUCGGGUAAGUUCCGACCUGCACGAAUGGCGUAACGAUGGCCACACUGUCUCCUCCUGAGACUCAGCGAAGUUGAAAUGUUUGUGAUGAUGCAAUCUCCCCGCGGAAAGACGGAAAGACCCCAUGAACCUUUACUGUAGCUUUGUAUUGGACUUUGAACAGAUCUGUGUAGGAUAGGUGGGAGGCUUUGAAGCAGGGUCGCUAGAUCUUGUGGAGCCAACGUUGAAAUACCACCCUGGUGUGUUUGAGGUUCUAACCUAGGUCCAUUAUCUGGAUCGGGGACAGUGCAUGGUAGGCAGUUUGACUGGGGCGGUCUCCUCCCAAAGCGUAACGGAGGAGUUCGAAGGUACGCUAGUUACGGUCGGACAUCGUGACGAUAGUGCAAUGGCAUAAGCGUGCUUAACUGCGAGACUGACAAGUCGAGCAGAUGCGAGAGCAGGACAUAGUGAUCCGGUGGUUCUGUAUGGAAGGGCCAUCGCUCAACGGAUAAAAGGUACUCUGGGGAUAACAGGCUGAUACCGCCCAAGAGUUCAUAUCGACGGCGGUGUUUGGCACCUCGAUGUCGGCUCAUCUCAUCCUGGGGCUGUAGCCGGUCCCAAGGGUAUGGCUGUUCGCCAUUUAAAGAGGUACGUGAGCUGGGUUUAAAACGUCGUGAGACAGUUUGGUCCCUAUCUUCCGUGGGCGCUGCAGAUUUGAGGAAGCCUGCUCCUAGUACGAGAGGACCGGAGUGGACACACCUCUGGUGUAUCGGUUGUCACGCCAGUGGCAUUGCCGAGUAGCUAAGUGUGGAAGAGAUAACCGCUGAAAGCAUCUAAGCGGGAAACUCGUUUCAAGAUGAGAUCUGCCGGGGCCUUGAGCCCCCUAAAGAGUCGUUCAAGACCAGGACGUUGAUAGGUCAGGUGUGGAAGC
rnacentral:rRNA from 1 species